ACCAGAUCUAGCUCUACCAAAGAAAAACACAACUAUAAUUCCCACAUAAAUCAAAUCAUUCAGUCUAAUUAAAGUAUUAGAGAAAGAAAUUCUCUUUUAGGAGCUAUAGAAACAGUACCGUAAGGGAAAGAUGAAAGAAUUUAACUCACAGUAAAAACAAGCAAAGACUUCCCCUUGUACCUUUUGCAUUAUGGAUCAAUUAGAAUCUCACUAGCUAAGAGAACUUCAGUUAGUACCCCCGAAACCAAACGAGCUACCUAAGAACAACUUUAUGAGUUAACCCGUCCGUGUGGCAGAAUGGUGGGAAGAUUUUUAGGUAGAGGUGAAAAGCCUAACGAGCUUGGUGAUAGCUGGUUACCCAACCAAUGAAUUUUAGUUCAACUUUAAACUUACCCCAAGAACUCAUAAUCUUAGCGUAAGCUUAAAAGAUAGCCUAAAGAGGUACAGCUCUUUAGGCAAAGGAUACAGCCUUAAAUAGUGAAUAACCAAAAUAUUAAUAAAGCAUAGUUGGCUUAAAAGCAGCCACCAAUAAAGAAAGCGUUUAAGCUCAAAAACCCAAAACACCCACAAUUCCAAAAAGAAAAAACAAUUCCUAUAAUUCUAAUUGGGUUAAUCUAUAACUCUAUAGAUGAGACAAUGUUGACACGAGUAACAAGAAUAACUAUUCUCCAAGCACAAGUAUAUAACAACCCGGAUAACCAUUGUUAGUUAAUCAGACAUAGAAUACACUUACAAAAUUAAAUAAUCUACCACACCCCAAAAUGUUAAUCCGAUACAGGAGUGCUGCUUAAGGAAAGAUACAAAAAAAUAAAAGGAACUAGGCAAACACAAACCCCGCCUGUUUACCAAAAACAUCACCUCUAGCAUUACAAGUAUUAGAGGCAAUGCCUGCCCAGUGACUGAGGUUAAACGGCCGCGGUAUUCUGACCGUGCAAAGGUAGCAUAAUCACUUGUUCCUUAAUUAGGGACUAGAAUGAACGGCUAAACGAGGGUUUAACUGUCUCUUAUUUUUCAUCCGUGAAACUGACCUUCCCGUGAAGAGGCGGGAAUAACAAAACUAGACGAGAAGACCCUAUGGAGCUUUAAUUUAUUAAUUUAAUUUCAACAAUACACAAUCUAAUGAAAACAAAAUCUGAAAGCUAAAUUAAUGAUUUAGGUUGGGGUGACCUCGGAGAAUAAAACAACCUCCGAAAGAUUAUAAUCAAGGCUGACAAGUCAAAAUAAACACGUUUAUCACUAAUCGACCCAUUAAUUUUGAUCGACGGACCAAGUUACCCUAGGGAUAACAGCGCAAUCCUAUUUAAGAGUUCCUAUCGAAAAUAGGGUUUACGACCUCGAUGUUGGAUCAGGAUAUCCCAAUGGUGCAGCAGCUAUUAAUGGUUCGUUUGUUCAACGAUUAAAAUCCUACGUGAUCUGAGUUCAGACCGGAGUAAUCCAGGUCGGUUUCUAUCUAUUUAAUAAUUUCUCCUAGUACGAAAGGACAAGAGAAAUAGAGCCAACUAUAAAUUAGAGCUCUAAAACUAAUAAAUGAAUUCAUCUAAAUUUAAUAGUUUAAUAAAAUUAUUCAUCUAGACAAGAU
rnacentral:rRNA from 1 species